UAUACCAAUAGAAGCAUGUAACGUGUACAAACACUGGACCCAUAACACCAAUUAGCCUACUAUACAGCGCAAAGCACUGAGUAAUUCCGGGUCCCCUCCGCCCUCUUCCCCAGUCACAUGACCUCUCACCCGCGGGCUCCGGGCGCAGCAUCCACCGCCUUUUCUAUCUGAGGAGUGUGUGUGUGUGAGGGGAGGGGCGGGGGCGCGCAGGGCCUGGGAUGGAGUUCGCGCGCCCGCACGCUGGAAGGAUUGCGUGUCUGUGAACGAGAGAGGAGAGCGGUCGUGCUGUCAGGGCUUGGUGGUGGGGGAAAAAUGGGGCUGUGACUGAACUCUGUCUAUGAGCUGUUAUAUGGAAGGACUGUCACAAGGAGGAGAUCCGGUCCAGAGCAGAGGAGACACAGCGCACGCCAGGCAGAGGGACGGGACUCCAGGAGCAAGUGCAUGCGCAGAAGGGCCUGCCGUGGUGACGUUGCUUCCAUUUUGCAGACUGGUCAGUGUGGAGCUUCUUGUCAAGUGGAUGCGGCAGAGAAGCCAGUGACCAAAUUCCACACCCCCAUGGCCGAGGGGACGUUACCAGAGCCCGCAGAGCAGCAUCGGAGUACCCCAGGACACCCCCAUCCCUAACGGGCAUCUUCACCUUGUGAACCUAACUAUCUCCCUCUGGUGCAGUGUUGGCAUGUAAAAAAAAGACGUCCUCGGCAGAAGACAGAGGGACAUCGGUGUCAAUCAGGGAGAGCUGCGGACAGCUCAUCUGUGCCCAUGUGUACCACCUGUCAGUGCACAACAGUACCUACCAGUGCCUAUC